UUGCUUAGGCAGCACAUAUACUGAAAUUGGAACAACACAGAGAAGAUUAGCAUGGCCCCUGCACAAGAAUGACACGCAAAUUUAGGAAGCAUUCUAUGUUUUU